UACGUAGGGUGCAAGCGUUAAUCGGAAUUACUGGGCGUAAAGCGUGCGCAGGCGGCUAUGCAAGACAGAUGUGAAAUCCCCGGGCUCAACCUGGGAACUGCAUUUGUGACUGCAUAGCUAGAGUACGGUAGAGGGGGAUGGAAUUCCGCGUGUAGCAGUGAAAUGCGUAGAUAUGCGGAGGAGCACCGAUGGCGAAGGCAAUCCCCUGGACCUGUACUGACGCUCAUGCACGAAAGCGUGGGGAGCAAACAGG
rnacentral:rRNA from 1 species